CAGCAGCCACGGGAAUACGUAGGGUGCAAGCGUUAAUCGGAAUUACUGGGCGUAAAGCGUGCGCAGGCGGCUUGUUAAGACAGAUGUGAAAUCCCCGGGCUCAACCUGGGAACUGCAUUUGUGACUGGCAAGCUAGAGUGUGGCAGAGGGGGGUGGAAUUCCGCGUGUAGCAGUGAAAUGCGUAGAUAUGCGGAGGAACACCGAUGGCGAAGGCAGCCCCCUGGGCCAACACUGACGCUCAUGCACGAAAGCGUGGGGAGCAAACAGGAUUAGAUACCCCUGUAGUCCCUGUCUCUUAUAA
rnacentral:rRNA from 1 species